GAUGAACGCUAGCGGCAGGCUUAACACAUGCAAGUCGAGGGGUAUUGGUUUUCGGACCAAGAGACCGGCGCACGGGUGCGUAACGCGUAUGCAAUCUACCUUUUGCAGAGGGAUAGCCCCAGAGAAAUUUGGAUUAAUACCUCAUAGUAUAGUACUUUGGCAUCAAGGAACUAUUAAAGUCACAACGGCAAAGAUGAGCAUGCGUCCCAUUAGCUAGUUGGUAAGGUAACGGCUUACCAAGGCUACGAUGGGUAGGGUCCUGAGAGGGAGAUCCCCCACACUGGUACUGAGACACGGACCAGACUCCUACGGGAGGCAGCAGUGAGGAAUAUUGGUCAAUGGACGCAAGUCUGAACCAGCCAUUGCCGCUGCAGGAUGACGGUCUAUGGAUUGUAAACUGCUUUUGUACGAGAAGAAACAACAUUACGUGUAAUGUCUUGACGG
rnacentral:rRNA from 1 species